CAGGGCCGGCCGGCAGCCGCUGCUCUUUCACAGCCCCAGACCCUGCGCGGCCUGCCGGCGGCUGGCGACCUCCCUUCCCCUCCCGAGGCGCCCGAGCCUCUGAUCCCCUCCCGGGGCGCCUGUGGCCUCCCUUCCCCUCCCGGGGCGCCCGAGCCUCUGAUCCCCUCCCGGGGCGCCUGUGGCCUCCCUUCCCCUCCUGGGGCGCCUGUGACCUCCCGUCCCCUCCCGCGGCUCCCGCGGCCUCCGACCUCCUGCCGGGGCGCCUCAAGGGCCCCUGCCCCACAUCAGAGGGUCUUGCGGUUUCCUGGUUUGGUUCAACAUCUCUGAAACCCAGAGGUGAAGAAGAAACCAUGGAGGAGAAUCCGAAACAGUCUUCCAGAUCAGACCUCUAAAAUAACUAAAUUCUUGUUAAUCAUUAGAUUCUCCCUUUUAUUUAAUGUGUAAGUCCAAGGGGAUUCCUUCUGCUUCCCCAUUCAAUUAGACAGCAACCUCUUCCUCUAAAGUUCUCUCAUCUGAAGCCAUCUGAGCAGGAGCACUUUGACCAACUCAAUUCUGCUCUGAUCUGGACUACUUCUCCCAGUUUAGGGAUCAGUAAAUUGCCAAACACUUCCCAAUUUAUCCCUGAAGGAAUCCCUGAAAAAUGAUGGCCUUUAUUCUCCCUCAGAGAGGGAGCUUGAGCUCUUGAGAAAGACAUGAAGGCCCUUGCCGCUGUCGGCAUCACUCCUUCCUCCCUAAUCCGGUCAGUUAAUUGCUGAGUGCUCGCUUCCUGAUCUGCGUGAUGGCCUCGGAACCGGGCUGCGUGUAGACCUGGGUGACUAUCAGCUCAGCUCCCAAGUGGAGGGCCUCGGAAGACGCUCUGUGCGGCCUACUAACAAGCACGAGAGUUCUUACAAGAAGAGGAAAUUUGGUCUCACAAAAGACACCAGAGGUACACGCAGAGAAAAGGCCAUGAGAAGACACAGCGGGAAGAUAGCCAUCUGCAAGCCAAGGAGAGAGGCCUCCAGAGACACCAAAACCUGCCGACACCUUCAUCUUGGACUUCAUGCCCCCAAAACUGUGAGAAAAUAAAUUUCUGUUGUUUAAGC
rnacentral:lncRNA from 1 species